UACGUAGGGCGCAAGCGUUGUCCGGAAUUAUUGGGUGUAAAGAGCUCGUAGGCGGUCUGUCGCGUCGGAUGUGAAAGCCCGGGGCUUAACCCCGGGUCUGCAUUCGAUACGGGCAGACUAGAGUGUGGUAGGGGAGAUCGGAAUUCCUGGUGUAGCGGUGAAAUGCGCAGAUAUCAGGAGGAACACCGGUGGCGAAGGCGGAUCUCUGGGCCAUUACUGACGCUGAGGAGCGAAAGCGUGGGGAGCGAACAGG
rnacentral:rRNA from 1 species